rnacentral:rRNA from 1 species
CAAUAGCGUAUAUUUAAGUUGUUGCAGUUAAAAAGCUCGUAGUUGGAUUCGGUUAAGAGCGACCGGUCCGCCGUUUGGUGUGCACUGGUUGGUUUUAACUUCCUGUAGAGGACGUGCUCUGGGUUUAACGACCUGGACUCGGAGUCUACGUGGUUACUUUGAAAAAAUUAGAGUGUUCGAAGCGGGCUUACGCUUGAAUAUUUCAGCAUGGAAUAACACUAUAGGACUCCUGUCCUAUUUCGUUGGUCUCGGGACGGGAGUAAUGAUUAAGAGGAACAGUUGGGGGCAUUCGUAUUUCAUUGUCAGAGGUGAAAUUCUUGGAUUUAUGAAAGACGAACUUCUGCGAAAGCAUUUGCCAAGGAUGUUUUCAUUAA